UUUAUGCUCUCAGAAAUUAUACCACAUAGGUGAUAGUGUAUUUUUAUCUCUAUUAUUUAGUUUAUAGAAAGCUUAUACUUUUUCAUGUUUUUUUACUGACCUGAUGUGAAUUUACAACUUUUUAAAACAUCAAUCACAUGUUUAUUACAUGUAUUUAUGGGAACACAUGAUUAUUUACAAAGUGGCAUAUCCUAUUAGUUUACAUUUAUUUUUUGAGAGAGAAUAGAAAGGGUGUGGAUUUUGUUGCCUCAUAUAUGUGCUUAAUUCGUUGUAUUGAAAUAUUCACACCAUGGAGAAAAGAGAAGAAAGAUUCACAGGUAAAUUGUUUUGUGGGACAUGAUUCUAACUGGUGUAACAUUAGACAAUGGUGCUAUAUGUACAUGCAGAUGAAAUGCAAGGUAUUGAAACUUUCAAAGAAAUGAAGAAAAAUACUUAUAUUCAUCCAAACAAACAUCUGUGAAGAUGAUAUGGAAACUAAUAUGUAUUCAGUUUUAUUGGCAUAUGCAUUUAAUCUUAAUUUGUCAUGAGAAUAGUCUGAAGAAUCAUAAAAUGGAUUAAUCAGUUGUGCAUAAAUCUUUCAAAGUUUCCUUCCAAAAUAUCCUUUGGUCAUGCAAUAUGUACAAUGUAUAUGAAUCUUUCUAGUCAUUUUGGUGCGUUCUUCUGACGUGGAAAUGUGUUAGAAUUAUUUUUCUUAUACAGCUGUUUUUAAUUACAAACGAUUAAUGAGAGUGAGCUGUGUCGUCAUAAUAUUAAUAAAAUCUUCUGUGAUAUCUGAAUCUGAAGUGCAUGUAUUUAAUGAAACUUUGUUCACAAUUUGAUUUAAGUAAAAGAUUCCAAGAAUGUU
rnacentral:misc_RNA from 1 species